AAACCAGCACCUCAAGUGGUCAGGAUGAUUAUUGGGCCUAAAGCAUCCGUAGCCUGUUCUGUAAGUUUCCGGUUAAAUCCAUUAGCUCAACUAAUGGGCCGCCGAAAAUACUGCAAAACUAGGGAGUGGGAGAGGUAGACGGUACUCGGUAGGAAGGGGUAAAAUCCUUUGAUCUAUUGAUGACCACCUGUGGCGAAGGCGGUCUACCAGAACACGUCCGACGGUGAGGGAUGAAAGCUGGGGGAGCAAACCGGAUUAGAAACCCCAGUAGUCC
rnacentral:rRNA from 1 species